CUUUUAUUCCACUUUGACCCAAAUAGAAAAUCUAAAACCCAACUCUAUUGUAAACCCAAAUACACUUUCAUGGAAUUGGCUGAAGAUGUUGUCAUAGUUGGAGCUGGAAUUGCAGGACUUACUACUUCCUUGGGGCUUCAUCGGUAUUAUUAUCAGGCGGAAUUCUUAAUUAUAUAUGUAGAUUUGUUUUACUAAUGUAUUGUAUUCUUGAUUACUUUUCAGUCUUGGAAUUAAAAGCUUAGUGCUGGAAUCCUCUGCUAAUUUGAGGGUCACUGGAUUUGCUUUCGCUACAUGGACCAAUGCUUGGAAGGCAUUAGAUGCUGUUGGUAUUGGUGAUUAUCUCCGGCGGCAACAUGUGUGGAUUGAUGGGUACUCAUUAAUUUCGUCUGAAUUUAUCACUGAAUUUCUAUAUAUACAAUGAACUUUAAUUUGUAUGGUUAAAAUCACUCAAUUUUGAUUGUAUUACUAAUGUGAAUGUGCAUCACAGAGUAGUCGCUACCUCCACAAUCACAGGCCAGAUGGGUGCCCAAAUAUCCUUUAAGAGCAAGGGAAAGCAUGGAGACCAUGAGGUUCGUAUUGUGAAAAGGAAGUUGUUGCUGGAAGCCCUUGCACAGGAGCUCCCACAGGGUACUAUAAGGUUCUGCUCCAAAGUGGUUUCUAUUGACGAAUCAAACUAUUUCAAGCUGGUUUAUCUUGAUGAUGGUACCAUCAUCAAAGCA
rnacentral:misc_RNA from 1 species